rnacentral:rRNA from 1 species
CUUACGGGAGGCAGCAGUGAGGUAUUUUCCACAAUGGACGAAAGUCAUGAUGGAGCGACACCGUCGUGAAGGAUGAAGGCCUAACGGUUGUAAAUUUCUUUUUUGAAGGAGCAUAAUGAGAGUACUUCAGGAAUAAGGGACGGGUAAAUACGUGCCAGCAGCCGCGGUAAU